rnacentral:sRNA from 1 species
AAUUUUGGUAAGUAUUUACUCUCACUUGACUUGCGAAGUACUUACCAUAGAAAAUCAGAUAUUUGUUUUUUUGUCAUAUAGUCAUUUUGGGAAGGUUCCAGAAUGUUCCUGUACAAUGUUGCUAAUAGAAAUUGAAGAUGCUCUCUUUUUCUAGUUUAGAGUAUUUACUAUAUGUUUAUGCUCACAGCAAAGCAUGUGGAUUCAAAGUUAAGAGCAGGCAACAAAGAAGCCACAGACGAGGAGCUGGAGCGGACGUUGGACAAGAUCAUGAUCCUGUUCAGGUUUAUCCACGGUAAAGAUGUCUUUGAAGCAUUUUAUAAAAAAGAUUUGGCAAAAAGACUCCUUGUUGGGAAAAGUGCCUCAGUCGAUGCUGAAAAGUCUAUGUUGUCAAAGCUCAAGCAUGAGUGCGGUGCAGCCUUCACCAGCAAGCUGGAAGGCAUGUUCAAGGACAUGGAGCUUUCGAAGGACAUCAUGGUUCAUUUCAAGCAGCAUAUGCAGAAUCAGAGUGACUCAGGCCCUAUAGACCUCACAGUGAACAUACUCACAAUGGGCUACUGGCCAACGUACACGCCCAUGGAAGUGCACUUAACCCCAGAAAUGAUUAAACUUCAGGAAGUAUUUAAGGCAUUUUAUCUUGGAAAGCACAGUGGUCGAAAACUUCAAUGGCAAACUACUUUGGGACAUGCUGUUUUAAAAGCGGAGUUUAAAGAAGGGAAGAAGGAAUUCCAGGUGUCCCUCUUCCAGACACUGGUGCUCCUCAUGUUCAACGAGGGAGAUGGCUUCAGCUUUGAGGA